CACUAAGCAGUUGAGAUUUGAAGAUGUAGUAAACCAGUCAAGUCCAAAAAACUGCACUGUGUACUGUGGGGGGAUCGCUUCGGGGCUGACAGAUCAACUUAUGAGACAAACAUUUUCACCAUUUGGACAAAUUAUGGAGAUAAGAGUUUUUCCAGAGAAGGGGUAUUCGUUUGUCAGGUAACGUUCAAGCUGAGAGAGAGAUUUAGUACUCGUGCAUCCUCUUCAUUCUUUUCACUUACAUUAUUAGAUCCCUACUAAGUGUCAGUUUACCUAUAGAAUAUAUAAUUUGAGAAAAAUGCCAACUGAGAGGUGUCAGUUAUUGUGUUCCUAUGUUGUUUGCCCAAAUUCUUAAAGAUUGAAGGCAAAACCUCACUGUUUUCUCCUCCUAGAUUUUCAACUCAUGAAAGUGCAGCCCAUGCUAUUGUUUCUGUGAACGGUACUACAAUCGAAGGACAUGUGGUUAAAUGCUAUUGGGGUAAAGAAUCUCCUGAUAUGACUAAAAACUUCCAACAGGUAAUUCGAUUUUUCUUAGCACUUUUUGCGGUUUCCAUCUUACAUGUCUACAUAGGAGCUUUGGAAAUUGUAAAAUAAACAGUAAAAUAAAGCGUAUAGCUGCUUUCAGUUGAUUGUGUAAAAUGCUAUUUCAAAAUUGUUUUGCGGUAUUAACUGAAUCUUAAUACUUUCUUUUCACAGGUGUCACCACCCCAAUAAACUUAGACAAUGAUAAAUAACAGAGUCCUAUUCACAUAAGGGUGCUUACUUAGUUUUUCUCUUCCUUGUCUCCCACUCUUUCUUCAAAUACGGUGUUUUGUUCUUGUUCCCUAAAACAGUCAUUUGCUUCUUUCCUAGGUUGACUACAGUCAGUGGGGCCAAUG
rnacentral:lncRNA from 1 species